GGAAAAUACAACGCCAACGUUUUUCUAAGAACACAAGGAAGCUCAUCGGCCAGUGCCAGUGUGGCUCAUAAGGUGUUUCCGAGAGGACGUUAAGUUAACAACAAUGUCUUGGCUGCCAAAUAUUCUACUGGCUGCGACCCUAGCCGCCACACUCGCUUCCCUAGUUGAUGUUAGAGCGCACCACGGAUCUACCGGCUCCCCGGCAACCAAAAGUUCUUCAGAUACACUAGCAGUGAAUAAGGACCCAGUCAUAGCUUGCAUUACGUGUGGAGUUAGUCACUGUCCCGCUGGUACAACUCCGGUUUGGGCUGGAUUUUUAAUAUGCAAGAAGAAAAGAAGUGGAAAAAAUGCAGAAGAAUUAAGUUAAAAGCCAAAUAAUGACGACGCUUUUGAUUUUGGGAGAAACUUUUUCUCGGUCUGCCUUCAAUAAAGCCAAGUCUUACCGCUGAAAUGAUAGUUAUUCUUAGUAUUUGUAACUUAAUGAUUUAUAGUCUAAUAAAACGAUUAUGUAAU